ACAUUGGUGGUUCAGCAAUAGAAUUCUUGCCUGCCAAGUGAAAAGUCUGGGUUUGAUUCCUAGCCAAAGCU
rnacentral:tRNA from 1 species